rnacentral:rRNA from 1 species
UGCCAGCCGCCGCGGUAAUACAUAGGGGUCAAGCGUUGUCCGGAUUUAUUGGGCGUAAAGCGCCUGUAGGUUGUUUAUUAAGUCUGUGGUUAAAGACUAGGGCUCAACCCUAGGAAAGCAAUGGAAACUAAUAGACUAGAGUAUGGCAGGGGUAGAGGGAAUUUCUGGUGUAGCGGUGAAAUGCGUAGAUAUUAGAAAGAACACCGGUGGCGAAAGCGCUCUACUGGACCAUUACUGACACUCAGAGGCGAAAGCUAGGGUAGCAAAAGGGAUUAGAUA